GGGCCAUUAGCUCAGUUGGUAGAGCACCUGACUUUUAAUCAGGGUGUCCCGCGGUCGAGUCGCGGAUAGAUCACCA
rnacentral:tRNA from 1 species